AUUGCCCCAGUAACGGCGAGUGAAGCGGCAACAGCUCAAAUUUGAAAUCUGGCCCCCCCGGGGUCCGAAUUGUAAUUUGCAGAAGGUGCUUCGGGCGCGACGGCGGUCCAAGUUCCUUGGAAUCGGACGUCGAAGAGGGUGAGAAUCCCGUAUUUGGCCGAUCGUCAAGCCCACUGCGAAGCCCUUUCGACGAGUCGAGUUGUUUGGGAAUGCAGCUCCAAGCGGGUGGUAAAUUUCAUCUAAAGCUAAAUACCUGCCAGAGACCGAUAGCGCACAAGUAGAGUGAUCGAAAGAUGAAAAGCACUUUGAAAAGAGAGUCAAACAGCACGUGAAAUUGUUGAAGGGGAAGCGCUUGCAACCAGACUCGCACGCGGGGGCUCAGCCGUCCCUCGGGACGGUGCACUCCCCCGCGAUCGGGCCAGCAUCGGUUUCGGCGGCCGGACAAAGGCCCGGGGAAAGUGGCUCCCUCGCGGGAGUGUUAUAGCCCCGGGUGCAAUGCGGCCCGCCGGGACCGAGGACCGCGCUUUUGCUAGGAUGCUGGCGUAAUGGUUGCCAGCGACCCGUCUUGAAACACGGACCAAGGAGUCGACCGGCGACGCGAGUGUUCGGGCGUCAAACCCGGGCGCGCAAUGAAAGUGAACGGAGGUGGGAGCCCCCGGGCGCACCAUCGACCGAUCCUGAUGUCUUCGGAUGGAUUUGAGUACGAGCGCCGCCGGUCGGACCCGAAAGAUGGUGAGCUAUACGUGGAUAGGGUGAAGCCAGAGGAAACUCUGGUGGAGGCUCGCAACGGUUCUGACGUGCAAAUCGAUCGUCAAAUCUGCGUAUAGGGGCGAAAAACUAAUCGAACCAUCUAGUAGCUGGUUCCUGUCGAAGUUUCCCUCAGGAUAGCAGCAAC
rnacentral:rRNA from 1 species